rnacentral:rRNA from 1 species
CGUAGGCGGUUCGCUAAGUCGGAUGUGAAAACUCUGGGCUCAACCCAGAGCCUGCAUCCGAAACUGGCGGGCUAGAGUUCUGGAGGGGGUAGCGGAAUUCCUGGUGUAGCGGUGAGAUGCGUAGAUAUCAGGAGGAACACCGGUGGCGAAGGCGGCUACCUGGACAGAAACUGACGCUGAGGCGCGAAAGCUAGGGGAGCAAACA